UUGAACGCUGGCGGAAUGCUUUACACAUGCAAGUCGAACGGCAGCACGGGGGCAACCCCGGUGGCGAGUGGCGAACGGGUGAGUAAUACAUCGGAACGUGCCCAGUCGUGGGGAUAACGUAGCGAAAGCUACGCUAAUACCGCAUACGCCCGAGAGGGGAAAGUGGGGGACCGCAAGGCCUCACGCGAUUGGGUUGGCCGAUGUCCGAUUAGCUAGUUGGUGGGGUAAAGGCCUACCAAGGCGAUGAUCGGUAGCUGGUCUGAGAGGAUGAUCAGCCACACUGGGACUGAGACACGGCCCAGACUCCUACGGGAGGCAGCAGUGGGGAAUUUUGGACAAUGGGGGCAACCCUGAUCCAGCCAUUCCGCGUGAGUGAAGAAGGCCUUCGGGUUGUAAAGCUCUUUUGUCCGGAACGAAACGGGUGCGGCUAAUACUCGCGCCUACUGACGGUACCGGAAGAAUAAGCACCGGCUAACUACGUGCCAGCAGCCGCGGUAAUACGUAGGGUGCAGAGCGUUAAUCGGAAUUACUGGGCGUAAAGCGUGCGCAGGCGGUUUUGUAAGCCAGAUGUGAAAUCCCCGGGCUUAACCUGGGAAUGGCAUUUGGGACUGCAAGGCUGGAGUGCGGCAGAGGAGACUGGAAUUCCUGGUGUAGCAGUGAAAUGCGUAGAUAUCAGGAGGAAUACCGAUGGCGAAGGCAGGUCUCUGGGCUGACACUGACGCUCAUGCACGAAAGCGUGGGGAGCAAACAGGAUUAGAUACCCUGGUAGUCCACGCCGUAAACUAUGAACGCUAGCCGUUGGGUAGCUUGCUAUUCAGUGGCGCAGCUAACGCAUUAAGCGUUCCGCCUGGGGAGUACGGCCGCAAGGUUGAAAAACCUCAAAGGAAUUUACGGGGGCCCGCACAAGCGGUGGAGCAUGUGGUUUAAUUCGACGCAACGCGCAGAACCUUACCAGGGUUUGACAUCCUGUGCUUCGCCGGUGAAAGCCGGUUUCCCCGCAAGGGGCGCAGAGACAGGUGCUGCAUGGCUGUCGUCAGCUCGUGUCGUGAGAUGUUGGGUUAAGUCCCGCAACGAGCGCAACCCUCGCCUUAGUUGCCAUCAUUCAGUUGGGCACUCUAGAGGGACCGCCGGCGGCAGCCGGAGGAAGGUGGGGAUGACGUCAAGUCCUCAUGGCCCUUACACCCUGGGCUACACACGUGCUACAAUGGCGGUGACAGUGGGCAGCUAGCUCGCGAGAGUAAGCUAAUCCCAAAAAGCCGCCCCAGUUCAGAUUGCACUCUGCAACUCGAGUGCAUGAAGGUGGAAUCGCUAGUAAUCGCAGAACAGCAGGCUGCGGUGAAUACGUUCCGGGCCUUGUACACACCGCCCGUCACAUCACGAAAGCUGGCUGUACUAGAAGUCGUCGAGCUAACCCGCAAGGGAGGCAGACGCCUAAGGUAUGGUCAGUGGUUGGGGUG
rnacentral:rRNA from 1 species